GUGAGGGUGCAGGCAGAGAAAAACAGGACAGAGAAGAGGACCAGGCUGCAGGGCUUGGGCCGGAGAAGCCGGGCUGUCACUCUACCACUUGAGCCCCAGCCGGUGUCCCAAGCCCACUGGACGCAAAUAGAGGAGGAGGCGGCGGUGUGAGCUGCCUGCCUGGCUGGCUGCUCAGAGCCCCAGAGCCUCAGCUACUCCUGCCCAGCAUCAGGUCAUUCUGGAGGAGCCGGAAGCUGGGCAGCAGGCAGGUCUUCAAGACCUCUGAAGGACAAGACGCUCUGGACUUGGUUCUAGCACAGUGGAAGCCAAGGGGAGCAUCUGUCCACAACCGAGGGAGGGUGGUCCCCAGAUCUCUGCUCUCCAGAGACCCCUGCAGCUGAGAGCGGAGGAGCCUCUCUAACCCAGGGCUAGCCUUGGAGGGGCUAGGGGAGCCCCUCCCAGCUCCCCGAAGUUCAGGGCUGGGGACAUGGCCCUGGGUGGGGCCCCUGUGAGCCCAUCCUGAGCUACAACGACCACCGCCCUCACCAGCACAGACCACUGGUCUUCCCGGGAGA